UACGAAGGGGGCAAGCGUUGUUCGGAAUUACUGGGCGUAAAGGGCGCGCAGGCGGCCUUAGAAGUCAGGCGUGAAAGCCCCGGGCUCAACCUGGGAAUAGCGUUUGAUACUCUAUGGCUUGAGUUCGGGAGAGGUGAGUGGAAUUCCCAGUGUAGAGGUGAAAUUCGAUAGAUGAUUAGGGUAAGGAAACAACCGGUCGGCGAAGGCGGCUCACUGGGCAUUACCUGACGCUGAGGAGCGAAAGUGUGGGAGCAAACAGG
rnacentral:rRNA from 1 species